GACGAACGCUGGCGGCGUGCCUAAUACAUGCAAGUCGAGCGGACAGACGGGAGCUUGCUCCCUGAUGUUAGCGGCGGACGGGUGAGUAACACGUGGGUAACCUGCCUGUAAGACUGGGAUAACUCCGGGAAACCGGGGCUAAUACCGGAUGGUUGUCUGAACCGCAUGGUUCAGACAUAAAAGGUGGCUUCGGCUACCACUUACAGAUGGACCCGCGGCGCAUUAGCUAGUUGGUGAGGUAACGGCUCACCAAGGCAACGAUGCGUAGCCGACCUGAGAGGGGGAUCGGCCACCCUGGGACUGAGACACGGCCCAGACUCCUACGGGAGGCAGCAGUAGGGAAUCUUCCGCAAUGGACGAAAGUCUGACGGAGAAACGCCGCGUGAGUGAUGAAGGUUGUCGGAUCGUAAAGCUCUGUUGUUAGGGAAGAACAAGUGCCGUUCAAAUAGGGCGGCACCUUGACGGUACCUAACCAGAAAGCCACGGCUAACUACGUG
rnacentral:rRNA from 1 species